CUAAAAAAAACUUAUAUUUAGGAACGGAGGGAGUAUUUAACUCAGAAUUACCCUCUAUUUUUUAUUUCAACCCAUACAUCUAAAUUUUCAAUAUUUUAUAAAAUGACAUUAUUUUACAGCACCCUUCCUCUUCUUUCUCACCCAAAUUGGCAACGAAUGUCACUUCUUCCUCACAAAUUGAACAACAGAUGCCCAUACAUUAUCAGCCAUCGCAUCAAACAAUCCACCAUGCAUGUCACCGUCGACACGCACCGACGCACGCUUGCACCACAUCCCCACCUCUCUCUAUCUCUCCACUGCCUCUCCCUUACCCUUCCAAGAAUAUUGUUAGAUUUGAGUUUUCUACUGCAACCUGUUAGUAGAGAAAGCAGAGAACAAAAUUUAAUGUCGUAUAUUAGUAGGAAAACCGAAGGUAGAACUUGCAUAUACAAAGGAAAUAGAUACAUGGUGAAGGUUGAGCUGAUAGGCUUAGCUAAGGCAACUACUCUAUGGGCCACGGUUCUUUUGGCAGCUUAAAAAAUAAGCCGCCUUUUCCCCGGCUUAUCUCACAAGCCGCCUCUCUUAUUCAUUGAGGCUUCUAAAUUAGUUAUGGGAUAACUAAUUUAAAAGUCUCAACAAAUUUCAUGAGCGGCUUAUUUUUUAAGCUGGGAGAGACAACUUAUUUUUUAAGCCGGCCAAAAGAUUUGGGCCUAUGAAUGGGUACCCACCUCAAUAGAUACAACUACAUUAAACCAGUAAUCACAUUUCAGGGCCUCUAAAAGUGCCCGGAGAUGGGUUUUAAAGUUGGACAAUAAAAUUGUUCUUACACCAGCCUUACGCAAUGCUUCAAACAUACAUUUAGAAUCAGGGUAAAUGAGCUGCCAUCAAACAGGUGCUCAGGAUCUCUGGUUCAGUUAGCAAAUGAGUUGGUUCACCUUAGAAUAUAAAUGUUUUAGUACUCUUCUAUUUCUAAGUACAAUUUUCUUUUUGCAUAAGGUAGUGUUGAAUGAUUAUACCUUGAUAAAUCGGACUGCACAUAGUACUUUGUGGCUGACACUACGUAUUUUGCUUCAUUUUUUAGAUUAAUCAAAACUGGCAAAAAAUAGCGCACCAAGUUCUGUAACAGUAAACAUAAAAUGAACAAGAUCAUUGAUAACAUUCGGGUAAGAUCUGAAAUGGGUGAAUGAAGGAGCCACACUUAAAGGUGGCUCAUUUUGUUGCAGGAGGAGCCGUGGUAUUUUGGAAACCACCUUGCCAAUUUAUAAUCAAUCAUCAAAAAAUUACAGCCACCAAGAUAGCUUUGAAAGCAUGUUGGUUGAACACUGCAUUAAUGAUGUACUCGUUCAACCUUGAGCUAUUAUCCUUAAAUUAAUAUUUCCCUGCAUGAACCUUAUUCAACACUCACAAAACUAUGUCUACUCACUUUGUCAAGUAGGCACGCGAUGUAUAUUCUGCAGUCCAUUUGUCCAACAAACCAACAUUUUAAACACCCUUUGCAGAAUAUAACCCGUCUCCUUCUCAAGAUAUUACUUCAAGUCUAGCAUGGAAGUGGUCAUGUAGACCACCACUUUAACAAGGCCGCAGUUAGCAUUUUGUGCAGUUGACACAAUUAUGGUAAGCAUUGUGCAAAUUAUAUCUAACAAAAAUAAGAGUGAACUUAUACAUGCACUUGCAUGCGACUUUGCUUCCUAUUAACACGACUUUUCACAUGACGUAUGAUCCCUUCUAUAUUAAAGUUAGAAAUGCCACCGACAUACUAAAUUUGCAAAGUUACGUACAACUAUUUUGUCUAAUUUUCUCAGGCUAACAUCCUUCUAAAGAUCAAAGAAAAAUAGAUAACCAUCAAAAACUAUGAUCUAAUUAUUAUUUUACAUAGUGCUUACCUAGGAAAUGCAAAGCUCAAAUAUCAAAGAAACAAAAUUUCAAAGUCUAGAGCAUUAACUAUUUCCACAUCUAUCAACACAUCAAGACACAAACCUUUUGUAUUUUAAAUAAGAAGGUAUGACGGUAAACUAAAAUUGUGAAUUUACCUUAGAUAUCCCUCCC
rnacentral:lncRNA from 1 species